GUGCUCGCUUCGGCAGCAGAUAUACUAAAAUUGGAAUGAUACAGAAAAGAUUAGCAUGGCCCCUGCACAAGGAUGACACGCAAAUUCGUGAAGCAUUCCAUAUUUUU
ensembl:snRNA U6 U6 spliceosomal RNA